rnacentral:rRNA from 1 species
GUAUCAAAGCUCCGGCGGUGCAGGAUGGACCCGCGUCUGAUUAGCUAGUUGGUAAGGUAACGGCUUACCAAGGCGACGAUCAGUAGCCGACCUGAGAGGGUGAUCGGCCACAUUGGAACUGAGACACGGUCCAAACUCCUACGGGAGGCAGCAGUGGGGAAUAUUGCACAAGGGGCGAAAGCCGGAUGCAGCAACGCCGCGUGAGUGAAGAGGGCCUUCGGGUCGUAAAGCUCUGUCCUCAAGGAAGAUAAUGAC